GGGAUUGUGGCUCAGUGGUAGAGCGCUCACCUAGCAUGUGCGAAGCCCUGGGUUCGAUCCUUAGCACCA
rnacentral:tRNA from 1 species